rnacentral:rRNA from 1 species
AAUAGCUCACUGGUCGAGUCGGCCUGCGCGGAAGAUGUAACGGGGCUAAACCAUGCACCGAAGCUGCGGCAGCGACACUAUGUGUUGUUGGGUAGGGGAGCGUUCUGUAAGCCUGUGAAGGUGGCCUGUGAGGGUUGCUGGAGGUAUCAGAAGUGCGAAUGCUGACAUAAGUAACGAUAAAGCGGGUGAAAAGCCCGCUCGCCGGAAGACCAAGGGUUCCUGUCCAACGUUAAUCGGGGCAGGGUGAGUCGACCCCUAAGGCGAGGCCGAAAGGCGUAGUCGAUGGGAAACAGGUUAAUAUUCCUGUACUUGGUGUUACUGCGAAGGGGGGACGGAGAAGGCUAUGUUGGCCGGGCGACGGUUGUCCCGGUUUAAGCGUGUAGGCUGGUUUUCCAGGCAAAUCCGGAAAAUCAAGGCUGAGGCGUGAUGACGAGGCACUACGGUGCUGAAGCGACAAAUGCCCUGCUUCCAGGAAAAGCCUCUAAGCAUCAGGUAACAUCAAAUCGUACCCCAAACCGACACAGGUGGUCAGGUAGAGAAUACCAAGGCGCUUGAGAGAACUCGGGUGAAGGAACUAGGCAAAAUGGUGCCGUAACUUCGGGAGAAGGCACGCUGAUAUGUAGGUGAAGCGACUUGCUCGUGGAGCUGAAAUCAGUCGAAGAUACCAGCUGGCUGCAACUGUUUAUUAAAAACACAGCACUGUGCAAACACGAAAGUGGACGUAUACGGUGUGACGCCUGCCCGGUGCCGGAAGGUUAAUUGAUGGGGUUAGCGGUAACGCGAAGCUCUUGAUCGA